UGCAAAAUGAAGGGCAUCUGAAUCUUAGAGACCACUUGACGUGGCUACAGCUGGAGCAGGAUGGAAAAACAGAGGUGGUGCUAGAGGUUUAUGUGAAGAGCUUGCUCUGGGAGGCAGUGUUAUGGAGAAGCUCUCUCAGCUACUGCAGUGUAACCCCUCACUCUUAUGGUAAGAAUGGCGAAACGCUGCAUGGACCUGGUCAAGUACCGCACACCAUCUUACCACCACGUUGCACGGCAGUGGAGCUUCACUACAGGCUGAUCAGCUCACAGAUUGCACUAUGUUUCUAAUAGCUGAACACAUAUUCAGAAGAGGAUAUACUCAGCUCUGUCAUUUCCUCCUGGAUUAAGACUUCUGUUCUUAAAAAGCAUGUGGACAUCUCGCCUACUGUCUUCUAACAGGCAAAGUUCGGUGCUAUUCAGGGAGCAUCUCUGGACACAAGGAACACCUGUACUAGAGUUUAAAGGACUUUCAAUAUCUAAUGACCAAAACAAAUCCUUAAUUUUCAGUUGAGUAUAUUCUGAAAUAUACCUGUAUAUUUCUGAAAGCUGUAUGUAUUUCGGAUUCGUCAGCCUUUGCAUGCUGGUAUAGAAGAGUGCGAUCUCCUCCUCGCAAUUCAUCCCGAAUAGUGGAACUCAUGGGAUAUCAAAGGAGAGUGCAAGAGACUGUUCUACAAACAAAAGGAAAAUGUUGAUCUCCAGCAAAGUUACCAUGUGACUUGUUAUUCGUUUCUGUUCAUCUUCCUCACCUUGUGAAGAGAAAUACCCAGGACCAGGCACGGACUAUCAUGGAGGGAACAGAUGGAGUUACCACCCCAACAUUAUUCAGGACUGUGCUGGAUUCACGAGUGAAGAAGUCUGUUUUCACAUUACAUGAGACUUUGCUUGACUGUUAUUCUGUUAUUCAAUUUCUAGUUCAUGUUAAUAAAUUGUUAUUUGUUGUUUAC